GGGACGUUAGCUCAGUCGGUAGAGCAGCGGACUUUUAAUCCGUUGGUCGCGCGUUCGAGUCGCGCACGUCCUACCA
rnacentral:tRNA from 1 species